AUUGAACGCUGGCGGCAUGCCUUACACAUGCAAGUCGAACGGUAACAGGUCUUCGGAUGCUGACGAGUGGCGAACGGGUGAGUAAUACAUCGGAACGUGCCCGAGAGUGGGGGAUAACGAAGCGAAAGCUUUGCUAAUACCGCAUACGAUCUCAGGAUGAAAGCAGGGGACCGCAAGGCCUUGCGCUCACGGAGCGGCCGAUGGCAGAUUAGGUAGUUGGUGGGAUAAAAGGCUUACCAAGCCGACGAUCUGUAGCUGGUCUGAGAGGACGACCAGCCACACUGGGACUGAGACACGGCCCAGACUCCUACGGGAGGCAGCAGUGGGGAAUUUUGGACAAUGGGCGCAAGCCUGAUCCAGCCAUGCCGCGUGCAGGAUGAAGGCC
rnacentral:rRNA from 1 species